GGGGGUAAAGCUCAGUGGUAGAGCAUUUGACUGCAGAUCAAGCGGUUCCUGGUUCAAAUCCAGGUAUCCCCU